GAAGUACUCCCUUCGUUCCGAAUUACUUCUCGCAGAUAUGGAUGUAUCUAGAUGUAUUUUAGUUCUAGAUACAUCCAUUUUUAUGACAAGUAAUUUGGAACGGAGGGAGUACCAA
rfam:Triticum aestivum genome assembly, contig: Triticum_aestivum_CS42_TGACv1_scaffold_020533_1AS